rnacentral:rRNA from 1 species
GACGAACGCUGGCGGCGUGCCUAACACAUGCAAGUCGAACGGAGAUGUUGAUUUCGGUUGACGUCUUAGUGGCGAACGGUGAGUAACGCGUGAACAAUCUGACCUUAAGAGGGGAUAACAACGAGAAAUCGUUGCUAAUACCGCAUAAGACCACAAUGCCGCAUGGCGAAGGGGUCAAAGGAGCAAUCCGCUUAAGGAGGGGUUCGCGUCCCAUUAGGUAGUAGGUGAGGUAACGGCCCACCUAGCCGACGAUGGGUAGCCGAGCUGAGAGGCUGAUCGGCCACACUGGAACUGAGACACGGUCCAGACUCCUACGGGAGGCAGCAGUGGGGAAUAUUGGGCAAUGGGCGCAAGCCUGACCCAGCAACGCCGCGUGAGGGAAGAAGGUUUUCGGAUUGUAAACCUCUGUCGCAGAUGACGAAACAAAUGACGGUAAUCUGUGAGGAAGCCCCGGCUAACUACGUGCCAGCAGCCGCGGUAAU